AAAUUGAAGAGUUUGAUCAUGGCUCAGAUUGAACGCUGGCGGCAGGCCUAACACAUGCAAGUCGAGCGGUAGCACAGAGAGCUUGCUCUCGGGUGACGAGCGGCGGACGGGUGAGUAAUGUCUGGGAAACUGCCUGAUGGAGGGGAUAACUACUGGAAACGGUAGCUAAUACCGCAUAAUGUCGCAAGACCAAAGUGGGGACCUUCGGGCCUCAUGCCAUCAGAUGUGCCCAGAUGGGAUUAGCUAGUAGGUGGGGUAACGGCUCACCUAGGCGACGAUCCUAGCUGGUCUGAGAGGAUGACCAGCCACACUGGAACUGAGACACGGUCCAGACUCCUACGGAGGCAGCAGUGGGGAAUAUUGCACAAUGGGCGCAAGCCUGAUGCAGCCAUGCCGCGUGUGUGAAGAAGGCCUUCGGGUUGUAAAGCACUUUCAGCGGGGAGGAAGGCGAUAAGGUUAAUAACCUUGUCGAUUGACGUUACCCGCAGAAGAAGCACCGGCUAACUCCGUGCCAGCAGCCGCGGUAAUACGGAGGGUGCAAGCGUUAAUCGGAAUUACUGGGCGUAAAGCGCACGCAGGCGGUCUGUCAAGUCGGAUGUGAAAUCCCCGGGCUUAACCUGGGAACUGCAUUCGAAACUGGCAGGCUAGAGUCUUGUAGAGGGGGGUAGAAUUCCAGGUGUAGCGGUGAAAUGCGUAGAGAUCUGGAGGAAUACCGGUGGCGAAGGCGGCCUGGACAAAGACUGACGCUCAGGUGCGAAAGCGUGGGGAGCAAACAGGAUUAGAUACCCCGUAGUCCACGCCGUAAACGAUGUCGAUUUGGAGGUUGUGCCCUUGAGGCGUGGCUUCCGGAGCUAACGCGUUAAAUCGACCGCCUGGGGAGUACGGCCGCAAGGUUAAAACUCAAAUGAAUUGACGGGGGCCCGCACAAGCGGUGGAGCAUGUGGUUUAAUUCGAUGCAACGCGAAGAACCUUACGGUCUUGACAUCCACAGAACUUUCCAGAGAUGGAUUGGUGCCUUCGGGAACUGUGAGACAGGUGCUGCAUGGCUGUCGUCAGCUCGUGUUGUGAAAUGUUGGGUUAAGUCCCGCAACGAGCGCAACCCUUAUCCUUUGUUGCCAGCGGUUCGGCCGGGAACUCAAAGGAGACUGCCAGUGAUAAACUGGAGGAAGGUGGGGAUGACGUCAAGUCAUCAUGGCCCUUACGACCGGGCUACACACGUGCUACAAUGGCAUAUACAAAGAGAAGCGACCUCGCGAGAGCAAGCGGACCUCAUAAAGUAUGUCGUAGUCCGGAUUGGAGUCUGCAACUCGACUCCAUGAAGUCGGAAUCGCUAGUAAUCGUAGAUCAGAAUGCUACGGUGAAUACGUUCCCGGGCCUUGUACACACCGCCCGUCACACCAUGGGAGUGGGUUGCAAAAGAAGUAGGUAGCUUAACCUUCGGGAGGGCGCUUACCACUUUGUGAUUCAUGACUGGGGUGAAGUCGUAACAAGGUAACCGGGGAACCUGCGGUUGGAUCACCUCCUUACCUUAAAGAA
rnacentral:rRNA from 1 species